UACGGAGGUUGCAAGCGUUAUCCGGAUUUAUUGGGUUUAAAGGGUGCGUAGGCGGGAUUUUAAGUCAGUGGUGAAAGCCUGUAGCUUAACUAUAGAAUUGCCAUUGAUACUGAAGUUCUUGAGUGCAGUUGAGGUAGGCGGAAUGUGUAAUGUAGCGGUGAAAUGCUUAGAGAUUACACAGAACACCGAUUGCGUAGGCAGCUUACUAAACUGUAACUGACGCUGAGGCACGAAAGCGUGGGGAG
rnacentral:rRNA from 1 species